CGAGAUUUCCCAACAUCCCUGUCUGUUUUCCUUACCCAGAGCAUUGGGCACUACUAAGUUCUUUGUGCUGAGCUGAAGGUUUGGUUUCAUCUGCUGGUGUCCUAAUACAGGAGGGUCAGAACGGACUUGGAGAAGUGCCUGCCCAAUAACUCCUGUCAGACUCCAGCCCUGUGAUGUUAAUGUCUGCAAACUUUGUCUUCCUCGAUGUGGGGAGUCAUUUCAGUUGAAGAAAUUGUGAGUGGCAUUAACUUGCUGCCCUAAAUUUAGAAGCAUAACCUGUAAAGAAAGAAGACCAUCCCUGAGAUGUGUAAGUGAGUAAUUGCCAAAAAGUGCAAGUCCCCAUUGUGCUCAGCAACUGUUCUAAAAUGGAAACUAUGGGGAGCAGAGCGGCCUACCAGAAGUUUCAUGGAUUUGUGCCAUUAUAAAUUCCUGGAGGCAAGCUAAAGAAGUGCAAAUGGAAUUCUGAGCCAACUGAUGGAGGCUAUGUAUAAAAUUGAGAAGAGGGAAGGAGAAUGAGGUCAAUCUCAGAAGGAAAAUACACAGCCCAUUCUUUCUGUGGAAGGGAACACUGUAAAGAAUGCACAGCCAGCAAGAGGCUUUGGAGCCCAGCAGGGUCCUGGUGGAGGCAUGCAUAUACAUGGAAUCAGGGGCGAACCGGAUGGACCGUCUCUCCCA
rnacentral:lncRNA from 1 species